rnacentral:rRNA from 1 species
GAUGAACGCUGGCGGCGUGCCUAAUACAUGCCAGUCGAGCGAACAGACGAGGAGCUUGCUCCUCUGACGUUAGCGGCGGACGUGUGAGUAACACGUGGAUAACCUACCUAUAAGACUGGGAUAACUUCGGGAAACCGGAGCUAAUACCGGAUAAUAUAUUGAACCGCAUGGUUCAAUAGUGAAAGACGGUUUUGCUGUCACUUAUAGAUGGAUCCGCGCCGCAUUAGGUAGUUGGUAAGGUAACGGCUUACCAAGGCAACGAUGCGUAGCCGACCUGAGAGGGUGAUCGGCCACACUGGAACUGAGACACGGUCCAGACUCCUACGGGAGGAAGCAGUAGGGAAUCUUCCGCAAUGGGCGAAAGCCUGACGGAGCAACGCCGCGUGAGUGAUGAAGGUCUUCGGAUCGUAAAACUCUGUUAUUAGGGAAGAACAAAUGUGUAAGUAACUAUGCACGUCUUGACGGUACCUAAUCAGAAAGCAACGGCUAACUACGUG